GACGAACGCUGGCGGCGUGCUUAACACAUGCAAGUCGAACGGAAAGGCCCUGCUUUUGUGGGGUGCUCGAGUGGCGAACGGGUGAGUAACACGUGAGUAACCUGCCCUUGACUUUGGGAUAACUUCAGGAAACUGGGGCUAAUACCGGAUAGGAGCUCCUGCUGCAUGGUGGGGGUUGGAAAGUUUCGGCGGUUGGGGAUGGACUCGCGGCUUAUCAGCUUGUUGGUGGGGUAGUGGCUUACCAAGGCUUUGACGGGUAGCCGGCCUGAGAGGGUGACCGGCCACAUUGGGACUGAGAUACGGACCAGACUCCUACGGGAGGCAGCAGUGGGGAAUAUUGCACAAUGGGCGGAAGCCUGAGGCAGCAACGCCGCGUGCGGGAUGACGGCCUUUGGGUUGUAAACAGCUUUCGCCUGUGACGAAGCGUGAGUGACGGUAAUGGGUAAAGAAGCACCGGCUAACUACGUG
rnacentral:rRNA from 1 species